AACCUGCCUGGUAGCGGGGGAUAACUAUUGGAAACGAUAGCUAAUACCGCAUAAGAGUAGAUGUUGCAUGACAUUUGCUUAAAAGGUGCAAUUGCACCACUACCAGAUGGACCUGCGUUGUAUUAGCUAGUUGGUGGGGUAACGGCUCACCAAGGCGACGAUACAUAGCCGACCUGAGAGGGUGAUCGGCCACACUGGGACUGAGACACAGCCCAG
rnacentral:rRNA from 1 species